rnacentral:rRNA from 1 species
UACGAAGGGGGCUAGCGUUGCUCGGAAUCACUGGGCGUAAAGGGUGCGUAGGCGGGUCUUUAAGUCAGGGGUGAAAUCCUGGAGCUCAACUCCAGAACUGCCUUUGAUACUGAAGAUCUUGAGUUCGGGAGAGGUGAGUGGAACUGCGAGUGUAGAGGUGAAAUUCGUAGAUAUUCGCAAGAACACCAGUGGCGAAGGCGGCUCACUGGCCCGACACUGACACUGAGAGACGAAAGCUAGGGGAGCGAAUGGG